CUUCACUUCCUGCUUACUCCAACUUUCUGCCCGCCUCCAGCCCAUCCCGCGACUCCAGCCUCUCCGGCUCCGGCUACACGGAACUGCAGGUUUCUCCAGACAAGAAUGACACUUUUAUUAGAAAAGACCCAUGAAGAAAUUUAUUGCCCAACGUUUGGACUAUUUCACGAGACAUAAUGCUGAAGGCUUUGUACAUGAGCUGUGAACGGAUACACUGGAGACUGACAACUCCAGGAACAAAAUCCAAUCAUGGCACCGGCAAAGGGCCGCUGAGUUAGCUCAGCACACUGAUGGUUUCAGGGCAGUUUGCUUCUAAAGGCAGAUGUAUUUCUUUCCUUUUCUUUCUUUCUUUUUUUAAGAGGGCACAUACUUAUAAUGUGUCUCCAAGAGGCUGUCCCUCACCCCAGAUGUAUUUCUUGGGUCCAGAAAGCCCUAGGUGAUUGUUACCAUCCCACUUCGAUCACCCAGAACUCUUGAUUUCUCAAAGGAAGCAAUACUUAACUUUAAAGUCA